GCCUGUGUGGCUCAGUUGGUAGAGCGUGGUGCUUGCAACACCACAGUUGUGGGUUUGAUUCCCAUGGUGGACC
rnacentral:tRNA from 1 species